rnacentral:rRNA from 1 species
UACGGAGGGUGCAAGCGUUAAUCGGAAUUACUGGGCGUAAAGCGUGCGCAGGCGGUUUGUUAAGUCUGUUGUGAAAUCCCCGAGCUCAACUUGGGAAUUGCAAUGGAUACUGGCAGGCUGGAGUAUGGUAGAGGAAGGUGGAAUUCCCGGUGUAGCAGUGAAAUGCGUAGAGAUCGGGAGGAGCACCAGUGGCGAAGGCGGCCUUCUGGACCAAUACUGACGCUCAUGCACGAGAGCGUGGGGAGCAAACAGG